UCCCAUUAGAUUACAUGGAGAGGGCGGGGUUUGACCAAUACUUGGAGCAGCCACCUGGGGGCGAUCGAAAUGCCCUGGCUUCACUUUUCAAGACUUGUGCGGCACACUUGGUAUAGACAUACAGUAGGUGAAUGGCACCGGUGGUAUCCACUGAUCUACAUCAUCUAUAUUACGCUUUUGGCUAUUUUAAAAAAGGGGCAGGGCUGCUCAAUAUGUCCCACCCCUUGACUAAUUGUUUUAGUUGAAAUUACAUCACCACAUAGGCACUUCAGUGGACACUCCAACACUCCAAGAUUCACACCUGUAAGUAAAUGCCGUUGUCACUCCCAAAAACUGAUAUUGUGACAUAUUAUUUCAUAUUCAUAUCUGGAUCAUUUCAGUUUGUGUAACAAAGUGACUGAGGCAAAUAAGGGUCAUUGCAUGCCAUCAUGUUUUUUUAGGAAGUAUUAAAUAACUGCUAAAAGAAUUAGGACUCGUCAUUCUGUUACUGUGAUUAAAAACCCAUAAACACACAUUGUAAUCCAAUAUCAGACAUUGAUCUGCACAUUACAGUGAAUUUAAAG